rnacentral:lncRNA from 1 species
GCCACCAUGCCUGGCCUACUACUGUGGUUUUCUGGCCAGUCCUCUUUCUUCACUCUGGUUUGUUCGUUUUUGGUCACCACUCCAAUGGACUUCUGUAUCUCUUUAUCCUCUGGCCUGUUAUCUGCUUGAAGCCAGGUGGGUGUCAUAAGGAAGGGCCAGGGGGACAAGCACAUAAGCACAUGUAGCCACCCCCUUUUCAUCUUCCUCAGCAACCUGGUACCUGGGAAGAGAGUGAACAGCAAAAAAGGCAUAGAGGAAAGCUAGAGAAAAGGGAUGGUAGUGAAUGUCCCAUUGUCCAUGUCACAGGCCUUCUCAUUUAUAUGCUAUUGCCAAACAAGAAGGAGGAAGCAAAAGCUUUUGGGGGAAAUGGGUAGAGAUAGGGAUGGAUAAAGAUAAUGAACCAUACUGUGAAUGAUCAGGUGAGCAGGGACUGAUAAGUUGGAAGAGGAGGAGGCAAUUUAGAGGAUUUAUUUAAUCAGAGUCCUAGAGUUGAAGGCAGAGAUGAGAAGGAGAGGACUAAAAUGGCCAGGGUGCCAACAAUAAUGUGAAUGAGUUUAAAGUAAGAAGAGAUCUAUGGAAGUGAAUAAAAAGGGCACAUGGAGGAUGCUGGGUGCUGGGCAGGCAGGUAGGUAUAAGGUGAAAGUUGGAUAUAGAGGCCAUAGCAAGACUAUGUUAGGAGAGUGUGGCUCUAAGUAUGGGAAGCUCUGGGCUAAUGAGGACCACACAGAUGUUUCAAGGUGUCAUAAAGGAGUCAAAAGGAACAAAAUCAUUGGCAUGGAAACUUGCAUUUCCUAUAAUUCCAUUCUAGUCAGAGAGCUUGUUUCCUAAGAGGUGCUGCAAUCUUUAGGCAGGGGUGAUGUGGACUCCUUCAAAGAUUUGGGUCAUUGUGAAGGGCAGAAGCAGGUGGCAGACGGAGGACACAUUCCAUGGUUUCUGACAUUCCUCCAUUACAAUAACUCUGUCUACUACAUGUUGCAAUUCCAGAUAUCAUAUCAUAUAAUCAUCUCAACUCCAAAUAUGACGUUGGCACUGUUAUUUCCAUUUUACAAAUGAAGAGAUGAGGUUGAGAGGUAUCGUUUAUUAUCUUGGCCUAUAAGUACAUGGAAGAGUUGGAAUUCGAACUGAGAGCCAGGAUAUGAACUUACAAGUGCCUUGCUUUAGCACUGCCUGUCCCAGAAGGAUUGUACCUUUCUGCUUCUCCAGAAACUAACUAAAGAUUUUCUCACCUGCUGAGAGUUGAGGAUGUUGCUUCAGGCAUGUUCAGACUUCUGGAGGGGAGCAUUGACCUGAAACCACAGUGGGGUUGAUUUUUGAGUAGUGAACCAGCUUUGCAUUCCUGGGCAAUGCUUCCACACAGGACAUAGUUCAGAAGGCAUUAGAAGGCAUAGAGUAAAAAGAUGCAUUCCUUUGAUUGAAUUUAAAGUCAAGCUUGUGCUUCUGGAUGGCUGCUUUGUCAGUGAACACUUGGAUUUGGAAAAUACAGCACCUGGGUUGGUUUUGAGAGAAAAUGGUUUCAACUUUAUAAUUACAGUUUUAACCACCACAACAACAAAAUUAGGAUGGUAGUGAAAUGGAACUAAAUCAAAUGCAAGGUUUUAGUUUAAUAGAACAAUGUCAUCCUUUAAUAAUCUUUAAAGAAGAACAACUAAAUAACCAAUAACAAAAUUGAAAUAGGUCAACUUUUAUCUAAAUUCCAUAGAAUCUAUAUACUCUAUUGUCCAGUUGAAGGAAAGGCUGCUGUUAUACCUUAACAGUUGUUAUUAAAAUUUUGAAGUUAUUUAAUGGUCUUUUAAAAUUUAUUUUAAGUAGUGUGAUUUUAACGUAUAGAGAAAAUAUUCACACUUUGUAUAGUUCCUAAGAGAUGAUUAAACAGGUAGAAAUAAAAAAUAGGAAAUAAAAUGAAAUAUAGAGCAUAAUUUCUACCACAAAUCUUUUUCCUUAAAACUAUCUCUGUCCUGGCCACAUAGAAAAUUAUUAUAAUCAUACAAUGCAAAAGUGAUCUCUAGCUAGUUAAAAAAUAGAAUAUGAUAGGGCUAACUUCUUUGAAAAUGUAAAUAUUAAUAUUACUCAAAACAGGUUAUUCUAGGGCUAGACUUUAGUAAUUCAUUUCCAUUUUGGACAAAUGUUUUACUUUGUCUUAAAUCCAUUUGAGGUUCUUGUUGUGCAUAAGUGGUUGGUUGGAUUUUUAGGGUUCCUGAGAGGAAAGGGUUGAGGAAUAUAAAAUUCACAUUUGUACUUUUGGUAGUGGUAUAGGAAAUAAACCUUUAGAGAAAGGGGGAAUUCUUUGUCAAAUAGCAAUUGGAAUAUAAAUAUGAUUAUAAACAUAUUGGUGGAAAAAUCAUCUUUCUUAUAAGUGGAAUUAAGAGCAUAUUGUUGGAUGGUAUGACAGAAGCAAACUCCUCCCACAGAAUAGUAGAGGCUUAUGAAUAGGCAGGGGUAGUCAUAAAAGGAAACAAUAUCUUAGUUUAAGGCAUUUAAUUGCAAAAGGAGAACACAAGUGUGGAAUACACUAAAGACCUCUGAUUCCCAGUGUUCUUAAAUAGCAAAAGAAACUCUAGAACUUUGCCUCUAAGGUAUUACAAGAACUUUGUCAAGUUGCACAUGAGAAAAUAGAGCCCAUAGCCAUAUAGUAAGCAAAAAAAUUCUGUUUGAGUAUUGACAUGACAGUUUUUGAAAGUUCAAGCAGAAAACCAAUUAUAAUGAGCACUGGAAAGCCCGGAGCCCUGCUGUUCAAUAAAUAAAAAGUACAACAAACUAUUUUCCAAAAAGGUUCUAGAGAGUUUCUUCUUGUCCCACUACUUACAAUCUGAUUACAUAAAUAGUCUCUAUUUGCUGUUGAAUUGCCAGGCAGCUGUAUUAAAGUACAAAUCAAAUCAAGUCAGGAUUAGAAAGUAAAAGAGCAUGGUUUAAAGUAAUCUAUCCCCCAGGAACUGUGCUCAGAUUCAUCAAACAGAGCUUAAAGUACAGUAUAUCUUAUACCCUUGUGUUUCCAUGCUGCAUUGCUGCAAAACCAGUUAUUAUUUUUGAUAUCCAGAAAAUGUUGCUUGUUGCUUGAAGAAGGCUCACUUGCUUAUUUAAAGGUACUAUUCAUAUGUGCCACUUAUUUAUUACUUCUUUUGGUUAAGAUUCAUGGGGAGGACAUAAGUACUAAAGACUAGUAGGCUUUUUAUUGAUCAUAUCCUAUCUGGCUUAGCUGUGAACUGUCAUGAAUAUUUCUUAUAGAUAGAAUGACUAAUUUAUUCCAGAUUUUAGGUAAUAUACAAUAUGAUGGUAUUAAAGAAAAGCUAUAGGUCUUUAGAUGCUAUUGGCUAAUAAAGUAUUAUGUAUACCUGCCCUUAUAAAUCCUGCUCCAUCUAAUUAUGACCGAAAAAAAACGAUUUAAUCAUUUCAACUUGUAAUUGUUUUUGAUGAAAAGCUCUAUACGUAGUUGUCAAUGUACUCAUCUUAGUCAUCAAUUCUUGUAUAGUUAUAAAAUUUGUUACCUUAAAGUAGAAUGAACAUAAUUAAAUAUUUAUAGUGAUAUCAAUGA